CGUGUGCUGCGUGCCUAAAUUAUGGUAUUGUCUUUAUCGAACAAAGUUGCUUUCGUCGUGUGUCAUCCACGUGGCAUACGAUGAACCCUGUAGCUGUCUCUCUGAACCACAUAGUUAACGCUUGCGUUCAUGUUGUGGCCCAUUGAGCAUGGCUUGCUAUCUUGGAUACGGAACAUGAUGUGGGCAUGGGGUCUCAUUAGACCCAAGUUUUGCCCUCGCUUAGCAUACUCGUUUCUCUUCAAAUGACUGGCCUAGCCCGAAUUGGCUCGUACCACCGGGUGGGUUACGUCGAAGAGGAUUGAGGGCUUCUCUUAAAAUGACCGCCUAGCCCGAAUUGGCUCGUACCACCGGGUGGGUUACGUCAAAGAGGAAUGCUACCUGGUUGAUCCUGCCAGUAGUCAUAUGCUUGUCUCAA
rnacentral:misc_RNA from 1 species